UACAGACGGUGCGAGCGUUGUUCGGAAUUAUUGGGCGUAAAGGGCGCGCAGGCGGUGCGGUAAGUCACCUGUGAAAUCUCCUGGCUCAACUGGGAGCUUGCAGGCGAAACUGCCGUGCUGGAGUGUGGGAGAGGUGCGUGGAAUUCCUGGUGUAGCGGUGAAAUGCGUAGAUAUCAGGAGGAACACCUGUGGCGAAAGCGGCGCACUGGACCACAACUGACGCUGAGGCGCGAAAGCUAGGGGAGCAAACAGG
rnacentral:rRNA from 1 species